AUCCCAGACAUGCAUAAGGUGGUAGAGGAUGAUUUAGUUGCAGCCAGGCAAGCAGAUCGGAGUCUAGGCAGCCAAGAUUUCAGCAGAUGGCUGACAAUGGGCCGUUUAAUGUCUGUGAGUUUUGGUGAAACCAGACUCUCAUUGGAACACUGGCAAAUGGUUAAGGAACUUGAGAGGCUAAGAACGGAGAGGCUCCAGUUAAAGAUCAAUUGAU